rnacentral:rRNA from 1 species
ACAGCAGCCGCCGCGGUAAUACAGAGGGUGCGAGCGUUAAUCGGAUUUACUGGGCGUAAAGCGUGCGUAGGCGGCUUUUUAAGUCGGAUGUGAAAUCCCUGAGCUUAACUUAGGAAUUGCAUUCGAUACUGGGAAGCUAGAGUAUGGGAGAGGAUGGUAGAAUUCCAGGUGUAGCGGUGAAAUGCGUAGAGAUCUGGAGGAAUACCGAUGGCGAAGGCAGCCAUCUGGCCUAAUACUGACGCUGAGGUACGAAAGCUUGGGGAGCAAACAGGAUUAGAUACCCCGGUAGUCCCUGUCUCUUAUAC